UUUAUGCUAUAAUAAGUUUGACCUAAGAGAAUAUGUAUUUCCUACACGAUAGAUAAGGGAAUCUGAUUGUUGGUCGAUGGUGUUGAAAGCCUAUCUUGAAUAGGAAUCCUAAAGUCGAACACAAGAUACCCACCUGUAUUAACCAGGGAUAAUAUCUAAAACUCUUAGGUUUUUAUUAUGGAGGAAAA
rnacentral:other from 2 species